rnacentral:lncRNA from 1 species
AAUAUACAAGUUAUUUACAUUUUGUGUUUGGAUGGAUAAACCCAUUGCCUACGUACCAUCUUAAAAAGAUUAGGAUCAAAACCUUGUAGUUCGGGGUAAAAAUCUCAAAAUGAGUUGGUGAAUUGAUUGGUCCAAAAGCCUUAAGGUCUUUUGUUAUCCAAGGGAGAAAACUCAACCUAAAACCACAAAUCCACCAUGUGAG